AAGAUUGGACUUCUAAGCCGUUACUUGCAGGGUUUGUUACUAGAGAAGUUUCUCUCACUGUGUAGAGCACCCGAGACCACGAGAAUGAGAUGUAGCUUUCCCUCCUGAGCAUGAAGCCGGCUCUAGGCGCUGCUUUUCUGUGACUGUCUCCUGUCGCUGGUGAUCGUUCAUCUCUCUCUCUAGGAGAGCGAGAGGAAAGGAACACAGUCUGAGUGAA
ensembl:snoRNA U3 Small nucleolar RNA U3